AGUGACAAAAAUGGAUAACGGGGCAGGGAGCACGUCUACUCUUACUUCCUCAUUGAGAAAUUUGGAUUAGGCUUUGUGCCCCGCCCACCACCGCUGCUUGCGCUAGAUUGACAAGUGAAACGGUGGUACCCAUCAAUAUUGUUAGUGGAGGAAACAGGCCACAGCCAUAUGUUUGAGCCUAAAUCUGACCCAGACUCAGGAGUUUGUUCAGGAGUGAGGAUAUUGUUUUGCACCAAAAUUGGCGACGAGAAGACAUAUCAGAAAGCGACAGGCAGAGCAUCUUUUUCUGGUCAAGGAGGACAUUGAUGAAUUGCUGCAAGGCGAGCUGGAGAGGCACAAUUAAGAUUCCAUCAGGAUAAAGACUCCAGGGUUGAACUUGCAGCUUUGUGUCAACACAUAAAAGGUGUCAUCAUCUGUCUUCCUCUCAAAUGUGGAAAGAAGAGUCUUUGUAAGAGUCCGGGAUCCCUCCAUCUUCUGUCCAUCCUUGUCUCUCUCUCUGUUCAUUAUAGCCAG